UCAUUUUGUAAUUUGGGAGAGGCAACACAAAAAAGGGAAACCCUAAAAAACUAAACCUUUUCUUCUCCCUAUCGAGGACCGGCCGCCAGCCUUGGACCCCCCUGUUUUUGAUUUUCUUCUUCCCCUCAGCAGCCGGCACAAGCAGCAGCCCCCAAAAGACUUUCCCAUCUCCUUCUUCGCUUGAGCCACCACCACUGGACCUUCCACCUCUGCCUCUCCCCCCUCACAGCUUCCCCACACAAGGCCACUUCCCCUCUGCCUCUCUCCCUCUCGGCCGCUCCCUCUUCUCCAGCCAUAACCGCCGCUGGAACCUUCCCCUCUCUCGGCCGCUCACUCCCCUGCUCCCAGCACCUUCCUUCUUCUUCUGGCUCUCUCGGCCGACCACCGUUCUUC
rnacentral:lncRNA from 1 species